rnacentral:lncRNA from 1 species
AACUGGGUAUAAACACAACAGUUGGAAUGCUUCAGAAAGAAGUUGAAUUUCCUGGUUAAGUGUAUUCAAUGUUAAAACAACAAUAACAGUGUUAAAAACACAUUUGGGGAUUGUUAGAAUGCCUUACCCACUGGUUCCUAUUAUUACUCAUUGGAUACACUGGUGUCUCUGAGAAGUAUUUCCUUAGGGAUCAUCUUAAAGGCUGUGUCCUCACAGAUAAGGGGCUGAGAAAAAGCCAGGAAACUCUCAGGACUAGACUGAUCGCCGUGGAGAUGGACCAUGUAC